GAUAAACGCUGGCGGCGUACAUAAGACAUGCAAGUUGAACGGACUUAAUCGAAAUAUUUAUAUUUUGAAGCGGUUAGUGGCGGACUGGUGAGUAACGCGUAAGGAACCUGCCUAUUAGAGGGGAAUAACAGUGAGAAAUCAUUGCUAAUACCGCAUAUGCCAUAGAUAUCACAUGAUAACAGUGGGAAAGGAGCAAUCCGCUAAUAGAUGGCCUUGCGUCUGAUUAGAUAGUUGGUGGGGUAACGGCCUACCAAGUCGACGAUCAGUAGCCGGACUGAGAGGUUGAACGGCCACAUUGGGACUGAGAUACGGCCCAGACUCCUACGGGAGGCAGCAGUCGGGAAUAUUGCGCAAUGGAGGAAACUCUGACGCAGUGACGCCGCGUAUAGGAAGAAGGUUUUCGGAUUGUAAACUAUUGUCGUUAGGGAAGAGAAAGGACAGUACCUAAGGAGGAAGCUCCGGCUAACUACGUG
rnacentral:rRNA from 1 species